CUUUCUCUUCUUUAUUUUUGCUCCCUUCUAAUUGUCCACUGCCCCUGGCAGCAGCGGCCAACCCCUUUCUCUAUACCCUCUCUCUCUUACUCGGUUCCCGGCGCCGUCGCCUCACCGGCCUGGGCCUUUCCAGCAGUGGCUCCCUUUUUCUUUCCCUUUCCUCUUUUCUUCUCUUCCCUUUCCUUCUGCUGCUAGUUUCCUCUCUUUCUAAAAAAGACUAGCCACCGUUGUCUCCUUCCCUCUAACAACUGUAUAAAUACCUCGAAAUCUACCCUAUCCGUAUCACCCACCUCUCUGUCUCCCAAAAGAAAAACAUAUUUUUCUUCGUCUCUCUCUGAUAAUCCAUUGAAUCAGAUCAAGAACGAACUGCUCCAUGUUGAUGCCAAUUACCAACCACGAGCUGCCAGAAAUCAUGGUGAUCGACAUCCUUUUAAGGCUUCCUGUUAAAUCCCUUAUGAGAUUUAGGUGCGUUUGUAAAUCCUGGUGCUCUUCUUUUCAGACUUCUGAAUUUAUCACCAACCAUAAAAACAAAAAUCUCAAUCUCCUUUUAAUGCUUCAUGAUGAGGUCCCUUACUUCUCCUUGCUUUCAACUGAAGCGAAAAUUAAGGAAUAUGGUGAACCCGAGGUCGAGUUUAAUCUGAAAGUCAAAGAGAAUAUUCAUAUGCUUGACUUUGAUCAACUCACAGUCUCUGGUCCAUGUAAUGGCUUGCUUUGUGUGCAUGAUAAUUAUAGCAUUAUCCUUUGGAAUCCUUCCACAAGAGAAGUUAAGGUUCUUCCUGAAUCCACUAUCUCACGUCCUCCUGCCACAGAUGACACUUAUUUUGGCUUUGUCGGGUUCGGGUUUGAUCGCAACUCAAAUGACUACAAGGUUUUAAGGUGUGUUAACAAUUGUGUCCUUGAAGAAGAUGGAUUUGCUGUGUUGGAAUUUAUAUAUCAAAUUGAUUUAUACAGCCUCAGGACGGAUUCCUGGAGAGAAAUUGCUCAUCCUGACGUCUUUGUUUACGAUCCUUAUUUGUUUAACGCUUAUAUAAAUGGAAUUUACUAUUGGGAAGCGAUGGGUGAUGAUGGUGAUCUAAUCCUUUCUUUUGACAUGGUUGAAGAAGUUUUCUCGACAUUAUCCUUACCGAAUUUCGGUAUGUCUAAAGCUGAGUGUUCGUGGUGUAUUGCUUCCUUUAAUGAAGCUCUUGCUACAAUUGUUCAUCCAAGAAUAGGCAUGGAAAAAUGCUAUGAUAUAUGGAUCUUGAAUGGAUAUUCGUGGACUAAACAACUUACCAUCGGACCUAUUCUUGGAGUUGAGAUGCCGUUGGGAUUCUGGAAGAAUGGAGAAUUGUUUCUGGAAAGUGAAAACCACAAACUAGUCAUGUUUGAUCCCUGCACGGGACAGCUUCGAGAUUUUGGAAUCUACAUGAGUCAGGACUCAACGCAGCAGCUAGUUGUUUAUGCUGAAAGCAUUGUUUCAAUCAGGGGAAGUUUAGAGUAUGAGGCAAAUAUAACUCGUGAAGUGCAGGUGCAAAAGAGUACUUUGAGAAGGCCGCUUAUAAUAAGGAUGCUGGCCAGUACUAUAACUUGGGGGUAAUGUACCUUAGAGGGAUUGGAGUGAAGAAAGAUGUGAAGAUUGCUUGUAAAUGUUUUAUUGUGGCAGCUAAUGCAGGUCAAACAAAGCCAUUUUAUCAGUUGGCUAGGAUGUUUAAAAAGAAUCUUCCUAUGAUCCCAUGUACUUGAAUCAUACCAAAAAGGUGACGUGGGCAAGGCAUUCCUCUUGUAUUCUAGGAUGGCUGAGCGAGGCUAUGAGAUAGCACAAAGUAAUGCUGCAUGGAUCCUUGACAAGUAUGGUGAGCACAACAUGUGGAUGGAUGAAUCUGGGCUUUGCACUGAUGCAGAAAGGCAUCAACGCGCUCAUUCUUUGUCAUGGCAAGCUUCUGAGCAGGAGUCAAAGACAUAAUAUCUGUUCGAGCUGGUCUUAAAAACUUCCAUGAGAUGGAUAUUUGAAGUUCUCUCACUCUUACCCUAAGCAUAGAGAGCGAAAAACUUUCAGCCUCAUCGUAUAAGAACAAAGCUUUGUUACCUGAAGGAUGAUGAUCUUGAUCCCAUAUGGUGGAAGUCAAUGUUCCUUAAAUUCUCUCUGAAGAAUAAAGGUACAACUUCGAAAAGCCUCAAAAAUCUGUCAAUUAAGAGAAUAUGGCGGUAUCAUGAAAUUUAUUCAAGUUUCCUUCUUAGGGUCCUAACUGUCAUCUCCAUCAAGAUUUCUAAGAGCUAAGGUUGCUGCAAAGGAAGCUGUUUUAGGAGAACUUCUAGGGAGUACCAAGUAAUGCCUCUUCUGCAAUAUAUUCUUAUCCACAUGGCAGCAAACUAUUUUGGAAUUCUGAUUGGUGAUGUUUGUCCAAUCUCCUCUCCUGUUCCCCUUCGGCUUCUUGCUUUGUGUUUGUUCAGAAUUUGAUUUCUACUUCCUUUUUAUGGUUGUUCUGUUUUGUGUCUCCAUUUGUUUAUAGUUUUCUUUGUGCCAUGUUCCUGUCUCUUGGGGCUGAACUUUGUGCUCUUCGGAUGUUGUUUUUGUUUCUAGGUUUUGCUAUCUUUGUUUCUUUGUCAGUUACUUUGGUCCUGUUUUCUAUUCAAUAAUAGAAUGCCAUUCAAAAAAUA